rnacentral:SRP_RNA from 1 species
GCCAGGCAUGGUGGCACGUGCCUGUAGUCCCAGCUACUCGGGAGGCUGAGACAGGAGAAUCGGUUGAACCCGGGAGGCGGAGCUUGCAGUGAGCCGAGAUCGCACCACUGCACUCCAGCCUGGGCGACAGAGCGAGACUCCAUUUCUUUUUCUCUCUCUUUUUUUUUUUUUUUGGAGACGGAGUCUCGCUCUGUCGCCCAGGCUGGAGUGCAGUGGCUGGAUCUCAGCUCACUGCAAGCUCCGCCUCCCGGGUUCAACCGAUUCUCCUGCCUCAG